GACGAACGCUGGCGGCGUGCUUAACACAUGCAAGUCGAACGGAAAGGCCCUGCUUUUGUGGGGUGCUCGAGUGGCGAACGGGUGAGUAACACGUGAGUAACCUGCCCCUGACUUUGGGAUAACUUCAGGAAACUGGGGCUAAUACCGGAUAGGAGCUCCUGCUGCAUGGUGGGGGUUGGAAAGUUUCGGCGGUUGGGGAUGGACUCGCGGUUUAUCAGUUUGUUGGUGGGGUAGUGGCUUACCAAGUCUUUGACGGGUAGCCGGCCUGAGAGGGUGACCGGCCACAUUGGGACUGAGAUACGGCCCAGACUCCUACGGGAGGCAGCAGUGGGGAAUAUUGCACAAUGGGCGGAAGCCUGAUGCAGCAACGCCGCGUGCGGGAUGACGGCCUUCGGGUUGUAAACCUCUUUCGCCUGUGACGGAGCGUGAGUGACGGUAAUGGGUAAAGAAGCACCGGCUAACUACGUG
rnacentral:rRNA from 1 species